UACAGAGGGGGCAAGCGUUGUUCGGAAUUACUGGGCGUAAAGGGCGCGUAGGCGGCCUCUUAAGUCGAACGUGAAAUCCCCGGGCUCAACCCGGGAACUGCGUCCGAUACUGGGAGGCUUGAAUCCGGGAGAGGGAUGUGGAAUUCCAGGUGUAGCGGUGAAAUGCGUAGAUAUCUGGAGGAACACCGGUGGCGAAGGCGGCAUCCUGGACCGGUAUUGACGCUGAGGCGCGAAAGCUAGGGGAGCAAACGGGG
rnacentral:rRNA from 1 species